UAUAAGGCCACGCCGAUCUCCAUCUCCUUGACGAGCGGAGAGGGGCUUCCUUCCAUCAGAGCUCACGCGCGAAGAAGCCAGGAGACGUUCUCAUUCGUCGUCGCUCAGGCUGCCGGCGCCCGCCUCCACCUCUGUCACCGUCGAUCUCGCCAGCACCGUCACCACCAAGGAGAGCCAGAGCUGCGGCACCCGUCCGCACGAGCUGCAUGGUUCCACACCGGGCGCCCUCCUCGGUCAUCCUCGACAAUCUCUGCUGUUCAUCGUUGCUGCCGAGGGCCGCCGCUGUAUUGGAGGCCCGGUCAGAGACGCCUCGUUGCUUCGUUGGUGUGUCCCUUUCCAUCUUUUCAUUGGUUCCGGAUUGGUAAUCCUUUAUUAAAAAAAUAUUUUCAUUGGUUGGUCCUGCCGCCGCCGCGCAUGCAUCGCGAGUUGCGUCUUCGCGACAUGCGGCCGCCGGUGUGAUGGCGUCUGGCCGUCGGACGUCCACGAGUCAAUUCACAAGAACACAACGAGGAGAAGAGGAGAUCUGAGCGUCUGUUUCGGCGAACCAAUCUUCUGGUCAGGAUUAUUUGUUCAUUGAGGUUGCAGCUCAAGUUGUUGUUGGAAAGAGCAGAUUUACAGCCGCUACAUCAGAGCUUAUUAGGCUACUGAAUUUUUCAUCAUAGAUUCUACUAUUGGCUUGAGCAUGUUGCUUGCUUCUGCAAGAAUUCAAUUUAUACUCGUGCUCCAUAUGUUGAACAUAGAUGCUAUAUAAUUAUAUGUUAUCUAUGAGCUUA